rnacentral:snRNA from 1 species
AGCCAUGUAGUGAAUACAAAGCGAAUUAUUCUUUCGCCUUUUACUAAAGAAUACCGUGUUUUCUCUAUUUACAAUGGCAUACCUUAAUGGACCCUGCAACUAGUUCAAAU